rnacentral:sRNA from 1 species
AUCGCGGCGCAGGACGGCUCGACACAACCGGCCGAUCUCCGGGCACCUUCACGACUUUGACCACGGAUGAAAUGGCACUGUCGAUGGAUGGAGACCCAAGCGAGGUCAGGCACUCUUGCCUGGCCUUUUUUGUU